UAUGAAUUUUUUAAAUGGCCGCGGUAUUUUGACCGUGCGAAGGUAGCAUAAUCAUUAGUCUUUUAAUUGAAGGCUGGUAUGAAUGGCUGGACGAGAAAAUUUCUGUCUCUGUUAUAAAUUUUGAAUUUUAUUUUUAAGUGAAAAAGCUUAAAUUUGUUUGAGGGACGAUAAGACCCUAUGGAUCUUUAUAAUGAAAAACGGCAAAAAGGUUAGAUGUGACAGCUUGCGGUUUUAAAUUAUUAGGUUGGGGCGACCGGAAGAAAAAAGUAUCUCUUCUUUAAUAAAAUAUUUUUAAUAGAAAAAAGAUGACCCUGAAUUUUGGUUUAAAAGACUAAGUUACCCUAGGGAUAACAGCGUAAUCUUUUUGGAGAGUUCAUAUCGAUAAAAAGGUUUGCGACCUCGAUGUUGGAUUAAGAGAUCCUUGCGGCGCAGCCGUUGUAAAGGAGAGUCUGUUCGACUUUUAAUUUCUU
rnacentral:rRNA from 1 species